UGCCGCGUGGGUGAAGAAGGUCUUCGGAUUGUAAAGCCCUUUCGGCGGGGACGAUGAUGACGGUACCCGCAGAAGAAGCCCCGGCUAACUUCGUGCCAGCAGCCGCGGUAAUACGAAGGGGGCUAGCGUUGCUCGGAAUGACUGGGCGUAAAGGGCGCGUAGGCGGUUUACAUAGUCAGGCGUGAAAUUCCCGGGCUCAACCUGGGGACUGCGCUUGAUACGUGUAGACUUGAGUGAGGAAGAGGGUCGUGGAAUUCCCAGUGUAGAGGUGAAAUUCGUAGAUAUUGGGAAGAACACCGGUGGCGAAGGCGGCGACCUGGUCCUUUACUGACGCUGAGGCGCGAAAGCGUGGGGAGCAAACAGGAUUAGAUACCCUGGUAGUCCACGCCGUAAACGAUGUGCGCUGGAUGUUGGGCGGCUAGCCGCUCAGUGUCGUAGCUAACGCGAUAAGCGCACCGCCUGGGGUGUACGGCCCGCAAGGUUGAAACUCAAAGGAAUUGACGGGGGCCCGCACAAGCGGUGGAGCAUGUGGUUUUAUUCGUAGCAACGCGCAGUACCUUACCAGGACUUGACAUGGGAGG
rnacentral:rRNA from 1 species